rnacentral:rRNA from 1 species
GACGAACGCUGGCGGCGUGCUUAACACAUGCAAGUCGAACGGUGAAGCGCCUUCCUUUUGGGGUGGUGUGGAUGAGUGGCGAACGGGUGAGUAACACUAAAGUAACCUGCCCCCUUCUUCUGGUUAACCGCAUUAAAGUGUGUCUAAUACGGGAUAUUCUGGUGCUGGCGCAUGGUUGGUCUGUUACGGAGGUUGGGUCUGGGGGGGAUGGUCUCCCGGUCUAUCUGCGUGUUGGUGGUGUGAUGGCCUACGAAGGCGGUGACGGGUAGACGGCCUGGGAGGGUGGACGGUCAGACUGGGACUGAGACACGGUCGGGACUCCUACGGGAGGCAGCAGUGGGGAAUAGUGAACAGUGGGCGAAAGUCUGAUGCAGCGACGAGGCGUGAGGGAUGGCGGCGUGCGGGUUGUGAACCUCUUUCGGCAGUGAAGCAGGUCUGCCUCGUUUGUGGGUGGGUUGACGGUAGCUGGAUAAGAAGCGCCGGCUAACUACGUG